UACGUAGGGGGCUAGCGUUGUCCGGAUUUAUUGGGCGUAAAGAGCGUGUAGGCGGCCAGAUAGGUCUGCUGUGAAAACUCGAGGCUCAACCUCGAGAUGUCGGCGGAAACCAUUUGGCUAGAGUCCGGAAGAGGAAAGUGGAAUUCCUGGUGUAGCGGUGAAAUGCGCAGAUAUCAGGAGGAACACCGGUGGCGAAGGCGGUUCUCUGGGCCUUACCUGACGCUGAGGAGCGAAAGCGUGGGGAGCAAACAGG
rnacentral:rRNA from 1 species